AUACGUAGGGGGCGAGCGUUGUCCGGAAUGAUUGGGCGUAAAGGGCGCGUAGGCGGCGCGGUAAGUCUGGAGUGAAAGUCCUGCUUUCAAGGUGGGAAUUGCUUUGGAUACUGCCGCGCUUGAGUGCAGGAGAGGUUAUCGGAAUUCCCGGUGUAGCGGUGAAAUGCGUAGAGAUCGGGAGGUACACCAGUGGCGAAGGCGGGUAACUGGACUGCAACUGACGCUGAGGCGCGAAAGUGUGGGGAGCAAACAGGAUUAGAUACCCUGGUAGUCCACACUGUAAACGAUGAAUGCUAGGUGUAAGAGGUAUCGACCCCUUUUGUGCCGGAGUCAACACAAUAAGCAUUCCGCCUGGGGAGUACGGCCGCAAGGUUGAAACUUAAAGGAAUUGACGGGG
rnacentral:rRNA from 1 species